AUCGCCGGAAUUGAAUCCGUGUCCUCCGCCGUGGGGGCAUCCCCUCUCCUCGAACCAGCGCUGGCGGACCUCAUCGGCCAUGCUCUCCGUUGACUUGUUCUGAUGCUAGAGGUUCAUACAGGUACCUGCUUGCUCUUACAUAGCUCACUUGCAAUUCUGCUGCCGAAAGAUCAGCAGACUCAUACUUUUGGUUCUGCUUAUGCAUAAGGCAAAAUUUAAAUUUUUAACAUUAAAUUUAGAAGUUGAUUUUAGAGUUUUACAUCGUAGUUUAUUGUUUAACAUUGAUUUUAUAUACUAAGAACACGGAUAUACCGUCGUUAGGCACACAUUUCAUAAACAUAAAUGGACCCACAUGUUAUAUCCUGGAUCACUCUCGGAAUCUCUAUUAAUGCUUGAAUAAGGGAUUACAUUCCUGGUUCAACAGCUCAAGAAUUCCUACAGUUGCACAACUCCACAAUCCACACAUGCUCCUGAACUGAUUGCUAGUGGAGCUAGAACAUGAGCGCUCUAUUUGGUUCUCUUCAUCUUGUGCACCUACCCAUGCUGCAAACACUGGGUUCAGAGUACAGUGUUCUCUGCAAAUUGGUAUGUUCGGGGAAAGCUGAAAACUCUCUACACAUUUGAGCAAUUCUCUGGUGCAGUGUUUUAUCUCUGGUAAUUGUGGAUCAUUGGGAGAAACGUCCGCGGAUCUUUCGGCUAGUUCUACGAGGUGGUGGGUUAACCGGGCUGGAUUCAAAAACUCGCUUCUACCUAUUUAAUUGAUAUUAGGUUCUUUCCUAAUAUUCAAGUUUUAAUUGUGGAUCAUUGGCAUACCGAGGAAUCAAGCUUCUGCAGGGCUUGUAUUUUUGUACAUGUGGAGACUGCUGAUUAUGGCAGUUUACUGCCAAGUAAUCACAAGUCGGAAGAAUUGUUUAAGAGAAGGAUGUGGGAAACUCUCUUCUGAGUUCUGAUAGGCUUUUUUUACAGUUGCUUCAGUUUAUACUAGUUAUACCUUGCUGUUUUCUGUAUCAACAUUUAUGAUAAAACUGAGUCCAUAAUUUAUUUUGUUGUGCUGAAAAAUGCAAUGAUUGUAAAAAUGCGGAUGUGGCAAAAUAUGACCGAGUUACAGCAUUCUUCUGCUGUGACUGAAUCUGAAAAGUUGGCAGCAGGAGUGACAGAUAUCUGGUAAUGUUGC
rnacentral:lncRNA from 1 species